rnacentral:rRNA from 1 species
UAUGGCCACUCUAACCCGCACCACUAAUCGUGGUGGGAGACAGUGUCAGAUGGGCAGUUUGACUGGGGCGGUCGCCUCCUAAAAGGUAACGGAGGCGCCCACAGGUUCCCUCAGAAUGGUUGGAAAUCAUUCGAAGAGUGUAAAGGCAGAAGGGAGCUUGACUGCGAGACCAACAAGUCGAGCAGGGACGAAAGUCGGGCUUAGUGAUCCGGUGGUUCCGCAUGGAAGG